GACGAACGCUGGCGGCGUGCUUAACACAUGCAAGUCGAACGGAAAGGCCCUGCUUUUGUUGGGUGCUCGAGUGGCGAACGGGUGAGUAACACGUGAGUAACCUGCCCUUGACUUUGGGAUAACUUCAGGAAACUGGGGCUAAUACCGGAUAGGAGCUCCUGUUGCAUGGUGGGGGUUGGAAAGUUUCGGCGGUUGGGGAUGGACUCGCGGCUUAUCAGCUUGUUGGUGGGGUAGUGGCUUACCAAGGCUGUGACGGGUAGCCGGCCGGAGAGGGUGACCGGCCACAUGGGGCCUGAGAUACGGCCCAGACUCCUACGUGAGGCAGCAGGGGGGAAUAUUGCACAAUGGGCGGAAGCCUGAUGCAGCAACGCCGCGGGCGUGAUGACGGCCUGCGGGGUGUAAACCGCUUUCGCCUGUGACGAAGCGUUAGUGACGGUAAUGGGUAAAGAAGCACCGGCUAACUACGUG
rnacentral:rRNA from 1 species